ensembl:snoRNA
AGCACUUGUAGGUGUCUUUGUUGAAUUGAUGUACAAAGACUUAAAGACAAGUGCAAAAACAAAUUUUCUUUGGCAACCCAGAGCUCAUUGUUAUGUAUGAGUUUUGAUAUGUGUAAGAUGGAAUAGU